GCAGAUGCCAACCGACGAGAAGUGGAAUUCAAAGUCAGAGAUCAAGUCUUCUUAAAGAUAUCUCCUAUGAAAGGAGUGAAACGGUUUGGGAAGAAAGGAAAACUUAUUCCUCGGUUUAUAGGUCCUUUUACGAUAUUGGACAAGGUGGGAACAGUUACAUAUAGAUUAGCCCUAUCGUCAGCUCUAGCAGAAAACCACAAUGUGUUUCACAUCUCGAUGUUGCGUAGAUAUGUGUCAGGCCCAUCUCACGUCCUCAAGUAGGAUACGAUAGCACUCCAGAAAGACUUGAGUUACGAGGACCGACUGGUUUGCAACCUAGAGAAGGGGAUGAAGGAAUUACAGUCUAAGAGUAUUCCAAUAGUCAAGGUCCUAUGGAGUAAUAGUUCGGAACGGGAGGCAACGUGGGAGUUGGAGGAAGACAUCUUAGCACGGUAUCCGAAAUUGAGAUCCAAAAGGAUUCCACUAGUUAAGGUCCUAUGGAAGAACAGUACGAAACGAGAAGCAACAUGAGAGUUGGAGGAGGACAUGAAAGCAAGAUACCCUGAAUUAUUUGGUAAGAAAGAAUUUUGGGACGAAAUUCCUUUUAAGGAGGGUAUAUUGUAGUGCACCAAUUUUUUUUUUUUAGUUUAUUAAAUUUUUUGGUGUUUUAUUUUAUUUAAGUGUUAAGUGUGGUGAAUUGUUUUAUUUAAAUGUUGUUUAUUUUAUUUAGUUGUUGUUUGUUUUAUUUAAUUGUUUUUUAUUUUAUUUAAUUGUUAGAAUUGUUUGGUAUAAUCUUUUUAAAUUUAAAUUUGUUAAUUGUUUGUUUGAUUAUUUAUUUUUAAUUUGUGAAUAAUUGUGUAACUUGUUUAUUUUACUAUUAGUGUUACAUUUUAAAUAAGUGUGACAAUUGAUGUGAUUAAAAUAGGUUAUUUUUUUUUAUUUUAAGUGUGUGCCGAAAUGUGUGUGUGUGUGUAUGUGAAUGUGUUUUAUUUUUCUUUUAUUAAUUUAUUUAGUUAUUGUUCCCAUUAUAGAAAAGGAAAUGGUAGUAUGAAUCUAGACCUAAUGUGAGUCUUGAGCAUUUUUCCUUUAAAUUAUGAAAAGAAAAGAAAUAUAAGUUGUCAUUUUGUAGGAAAAGAUGACAAGGUUGAUUUUUGAUUUGGUUCACAUUAGGAUAAGGGUUUAGGUGAGGUGUAAGGAGAGGAAAUGAUGGGAUUUAGCUUAAAUAAUGGGAUAGGAAUUUGGCUUUUCACACUUGAGUCCUUUUCUUAAGGUUAGGUCACUAGAGGCUAUAAAUAGGAGAGUAUGGAAGCCUUGGUAUUCUUUUCCUUGUGGCUGUCAAAAUUAGAGAGAAGGAGAGAGAGAGAGAGGCAUGAAAGAGAGAGAAAGUGGAGGAGAAAGGAAGAAGAAGAAGGAGGUCCUAGGUAUGGUUUUCUUAUGGUUCCUUGUUAUUUUUCUUUAGAUUAAGCUUUAUCUUCCCCAUCAUCUUAAGUCUUUUUUUUUUUUUUUAUGUUCUUCUUCUUCAUGGGUUUCAAAAACCCUAGGGUAUUCAAGGGUGAUUAUCACUUGGGUGUCGAUCAAGUUGUGUUCUUGAUUUUACAAUCAAGAGAGGCUCGUUGAGAAGUUGUGGUUUUACUUAGCUUGGACCUGAGCGCGAUGAACGCGACACAUCAAAAUGGACUGCUAAGGAUAUAGAAGACGUAACCCGAGUUACUAAGGAUAUGAAGACGUAACUCCAUGGGCAGACGCGCCGAGGUUAUUCAAGGACCAGAGACUCUUGUUUACCUCAAAGGGUGGCAUGGACAAGUUAGCAGGUCAUGUUCACAAGGAAUUGUUCAUGAUUAUGUUAUGAUGUUUGGUGAUGUUUAUGAUUUUGUUAUGAUGUUAUGAUGUUUAUGAUAUGAUGGUGGCAUUAUGUUUAUGUUUAUGAUAUUGAUGCCAAUUUUAUGAUGAUGCUAUGAUGUAUAAAGAUGAAUGAUAGUGUUUGUAAAUUUUUGUAUCUUACUUGCUUGUUGUUUGUACUUCCUUACUGGACUUUUAGCUCACCCCCUGACUUUCACUUCAGGUAGCAAAUAGGUUUCUCUGUGGCACGCAUGGUGAUGUGGGAAGUUCUGUCAUCCUAGUGUGUAUGGCGUGGGGCAUCCUAUGGACGAGAAACGAUCAACUUUAAACGCCAUUUUUAAUAAUAUUAUGUUUAAUGAGAUUUUCUUAAAAAAUUUCAAUGGGACUUAAACUUUUGUUUGUUUUAGAACUUUGCAUAAAACUGAUAUUUUCUUUUUAAACUUUUGGGCCCAAUUUGCAUGUUUUAAGCAAGACCCCACUGAAGCCUUUAUAAUAAGUGGCUUUCUAUUAUAAACCAUUGAAAAUGUGAAUGUUUUAUUAAGUACUAGUUAAGGGUGUUUUACAGUGUU